CCUCUCCCUCACAAUGUGAGCUCUCCUUGUCCAUAGGAGGCGUGCUCCACAUCUUUCUUCUCUUCCCCAAGCCGAAGGGAAGAAUCCCUUUCUCCUCUCUUCUCCAGCCAGCCUACUCCCUCCUCCCUUCCUUCCCCACUCCUCCCCAGGUGCCUCCUUGCUGCACCACGCCCUUCACCACCUUCAUGGCUGCCCUUUGAUUUAGGGCUUUGAGGAAGAAGGAAAGGAGACAAGAAGAGGGAGAACAAGAAAGCUUCCCCAACUUUUCCCUUAACCAAAUCUUUGUGAUUUGACCAUAGAGCAGGUUGCAGCACAAAUCCACCGGAGAUAGCCUCGCGCCACCUCCCUCGCAACGGUUGAGGCGAGUACACCGGGCAACAAGACCUAGAUUGCUCCCUUAAUAUUAUGUCCAUGUUCACGUUAUUCCUGUACAUUCAUGCAAUGGUGAACAUAUAACUCCCUAGUGUACAUUUCAAUACACCAUACCACUGGUAUGUGAUAGGGAUUGGUUUUUCUUGGUUCUUGAUAACAAAUCCAUCUUGAGUGAAUCUUCCAAGUUCAA